GCAGACGAGCAAGGAGGCAGCAGGAAAACCCCCUGCAGGAGCCCGAGAACUGUCUCUCCCAUGGAGCGCCCACUAGGUGGAGAGAAAGCCCAGGCCUUGCCGGGACUGAGCAUGCAGGGAUAACCCAGCAAGUCCCAACAGCGGGAUGGAUCAAGGAAGACUAGACCACACACUGUGUUCACAAUUGACAGGCAUUUCGGCAAUAUUUUACUUAUCCUUCAAAACGGCAGGGAAGGUAUGCUCAAGAACAGAAUUUUGCUUCCUCUGGAGUAAGUCCAUGCAUGCAGACAACAUUAAAGUAACAGCAAAUGCGUAUUGACACGCUUGAUCUGUAUCCAGAGAGAGAAAAAGACCUACAGUGAAAACUAUAUUAGAAGAAUAAGAGGUUCCAAUGGCAAGUGGACAUUAAUUAAAAAAACAGAGGCCAUGC